UUGUGGGGGUUACGCGGGGAAGUGAAACAUCUCAGUACCCGUAGGAGAAGAAAAUAAUAAUGAUUCUGCUAGUAGUGGCGAACGAACGUGGAUGAGGCUAAACCGUGUGCAUGUGAUACCUGGUAGGGGUUGUGUGUGCGGUGUUGUGGGCCCUGAUGAGGAUGGCUACUGACGUCCUGCCCGCGCAUUGUUGUUAGGUGAAGUGGUGUGGAAACGCCUGCCGUAGAAGGUGAUAGUCCUGUAGCUGAAGAUGAUGGUGUGUGGGUUGUUGGGUUGCCCGAGUAGCAGCGGGCUCGUGGAAUCUGCUGUGAAUCUGCCGGGACCACCCGGUAAGCCUAAAUACUCAGUGUGACCGAUAGUGGAUAGUACCGUGAGGGAAUGGUGAAAAGUACCCCGGGAGGGGAGUGAAAUAGUUCCUGAAACCAUGU
rnacentral:rRNA from 1 species